UACACAUGCAAGUCGAACGAGAGAUGAAGAGCUUGCUCUUCAAAUCGAGUGGCGAACGGGUGAGUAACGCGUGAGGAACCUGCCUCAAAGAGGGGGACAACAGUUGGAAACGACUGCUAAUACCGCAUAAGCCCACGGCUCGGCAUCGAGCAGGGGGAAAAGGAGCAAUCCGCUUUGAGAUGGCCUCGCGUCCGAUUAGCUAGUUGGUGAGGUAACGGCCCACCAAGGCGACGAUCGGUAGCCGGACUGAGAGGUUGAACGGCCACAUUGGGACUGAGACACGGCCCAGACUCCUACGGGAGGCAGCAGUGGGGAAUAUUGCACAAUGGGGGAAACCCUGAUGCAGCGACGCCGCGUGGAGGAAGAAGGUCUUCGGAUUGUAAACUCCUGUUGUUGAGGAAGAUAAUGACGGUACUCAACAAGGAAGUGACGGCUAACUACGUGCCAGCAGCCGCGGUAAAACGUAGGUCACAAGCGUUGUCCGGAAUUACUGGGUGUAAAGGGAGCGCAGGCGGGAGAACAAGUUGGAAGUGAAAUCCAUGGGCUCAACCCAUGAACUGCUUUCAAAACUGUUUUUCUUGAGUAGUGCAGAGGUAGGCGGAAUUCCCGGUGUAGCGGUGGAAUGCGUAGAUAUCGGGAGGAACACCAGUGGCGAAGGCGGCCUACUGGGCACCAACUGACGCUGAGGCUCGAAAGUGUGGGUAGCAAACAGGAUUAGAUACCCUGGUAGUCCACACCGUAAACGAUGAUUACUAGGUGUUGGAGGAUUGACCCCUUCAGUGCCGCAGUUAACACAAUAAGUAAUCCACCUGGGGAGUACGACCGCAAGGUUGAAACUCAAAGGAAUUGACGGGGGCCCGCACAAGCAGUGGAGUAUGUGGUUUAAUUCGACGCAACGCGAAGAACCUUACCAAGUCUUGACAUCCCUUGACG
rnacentral:rRNA from 1 species